CAGUAGCCGCGGGAAUACAGAGGGUGCAAGCGUUAAUCGGAAUUACUGGGCGUAAAGCGCGCGUAGGUGGUAUGUUAAGUUGGAUGUGAAAGCCCCGGGCUCAACCUGGGAACUGCAUCCAAAACUGGCAAGCUAGAGUACGGUAGAGGGUGGUGGAAUUUCCUGUGUAGCGGUGAAAUGCGUAGAUAUAGGAAGGAACACCAGUGGCGAAGGCGACCACCUGGACUGAUACUGACACUGAGGUGCGAAAGCGUGGGGAGCAAACAGGAUUAGAUACCCCAGUAGUCCCUGUCUCUUAUAC
rnacentral:rRNA from 1 species